rnacentral:rRNA from 1 species
ACUGCUCAGUAACACGUGGCUAAUCUGCCCUUGGGAUAGGAAUAACCCCGGGAAACUGGGGCUAAUUCCCAAUAGGCGAAGAACUCUGGAAUGAGUCUUUACCAGAAAAGACGCUUGCGUUAUGCUCGUAGGCGUCGCCCAAGGAUGAGGCCGCGACCGAUCAGGUUGUUGGUGAGGUAAUGGCUCACCAAGCCUUUUACCGGUGCGGGCCGUGAGAGCGGGAGCCCGGAGAUGGGCACUGAGACAAGGGCCCAGGCCCUACGGGGCGCAGCAGUCGCGAAAACUUUGCAAUAAGCGAAAGCUUGACAGGGCUAUCCCGAGUGCCAUCCGCUGAGGAAGGCUUUUACCCAGUCUAGAACGCUGGGGGAAUAAGGAGAGGGCAAGUCUGGUGUCAGCCGCCGCGGUAAUACCAGCUCUCCGAGUGGUGUGGAUGUUUAUUGGGCCUAAAGCAUCCGUAGCUGGCUAAGCUAGUCCCUUGUUAAAUCCACCGAAUUAAUCGUUGGAUUGCGGGGGAUACUGCUUGGCUAGGGGACGAGAGAGGCAGACGGUAUUUCCGGGGUAGGGGUGAAAUCCUAUAAUCCCGGGAAGGCCACCAGUGGCGAAGGCUGUCUGCUAGAACGCGCCCGACGGUGAGGGAUGAAAGCUGGGGGAGCGAACCGGAUUAGAUACCCGGGUAGUCCCAGCUGUAAACGAUGCAGGCUAGGUGUUUGGACGGCCACGUGCCGUUCUAGUGCCGCAGGGAAGCUGUUA